UCCGAUAUGGUGUAGUGGCUAACAUUCCGCGUUUUCAUUGUUGCUCUCGUUAAAGAUGACAACUUGAAAUCCGCGGCGCCCGGGGUUCGAUUCCCCGUAUCGGAG